UGGGGAAUAUUGGACAAUGGGCGAAAGCCUGAUCCAGCAAUGCCGCGUGAGUGAGGAAGGCCUUAGGGUUGUAAAGCUCUUUCGGCGGGGACGAUGAUGACGGUACCCGCAGAAGAAGCCCCGGCUAACUUCGUGCCAGCAGCCGCGGUAAUACGAAGGGGGCGAGCGUUGUUCGGAUUUACUGGGCGUAAAGGGCGCGCAGGCGGUUCUGUUUGUCGAGUGUGAAAGCCCCGGGCGUCAACCAUGGGAACUGCGCUCGAAACGGCGGAACUAGAGUUCGGGAGAGGAGAGUGGAAUUCCCAGUGUAGAGGUGAAAUUCGUAGAUAUUGGGAAGAACACCGGUGGCGAAGGCGGCUCUCUGGACGAUACUGACGCUGAGGCGCGAAAGCGUGGGGAGCAAAACAGGAUUAGAUACC
rnacentral:rRNA from 1 species